ACCUGGCUGGCUCAGUCACUAGAGCAUGUGACUCUUGAUCUCAGGGUUGUGAGUUCAAGCCACAUGUUGGGCA
rnacentral:tRNA from 1 species